UGGGGAAUAUUGCACAAUGGGGGAAACCCUGAUGCAGCCAUGCCGCGUGUGUGAAGAAGGCCUUCGGGUUGUAAAGCACUUUCAGCGAGGAGGAAAGGUUGAUGCCUAAUACGUAUCAACUGUGACGUUACUCGCAGAAGAAGCACCGGCUAACUCCGUGCCAGCAGCCGCGGUAAUACGGAGGGUGCAAGCGUUAAUCGGCAUUACUGGGCGUAAAGCGCACGCAGGCGGUUGGAUAAGUUAGAUGUGAAAGCCCCGGGCUCAACCUGGGAAUUGCAUUUAAAACUGUCCAGCUAGAGUCUUGUAGAGGGGGGUAGAAUUCCAGGUGUAGCGGUGAAAUGCGUAGAGAUCUGGAGGAAUACCGGUGGCGAAGGCGGCCCCCUGGACAAAGACUGACGCUCAGGUGCGAAAGCGUGGGGAGCAAACA
rnacentral:rRNA from 1 species